rnacentral:lncRNA from 1 species
UUGAUGCCUCUCUUGUUGGUCCUUUUCUUGCUGCUGUUUGAGAAUCAUUAAAGAAAUGUAAAGAAGAUGAGUUUGCCCUUUGAAUUAUCAAGAUAGAAUGACAUUGUUCAUGUUGCGGAGAUGAUCAAGUGGAAUAUGUGAAAUCUAACCUGGUUUAGUUUACAUUUGAGUUGUUAUCUCGUAUGUUAUUCAUGAUGUGGUCUGUUCAUAUACUUGUUGAACUAUUUUGGUUGUUUUUCUACUUUGAUUUCUGGGCUUCAUGAAGCCGAAGCAAUGUUAAUGUGACUUUUUACUAUAUGUAGGUAUCAAUGGCAUCUAGGAAGUGAUUGAAAGAAGAAAGGGGAAAUUGUCAAUAUUAGUUCUGAUGCAGCUCACCUUCCUUCUUUGCCUCUAUAUACUCUUUAUUCUACAAUCAAAGCUUAAGCAAACCAGAAUUAUAUGGAGUCUUGUAUAGGGUCAGUAUCCAUGCUACCUGCAUAAAAUAUUACAUAAUGUUAUAUGUGAUACUUAAUUGUUGCCUUUAGCAUAUACUAUUGUCUCAUAAUGGAUGUUAGAUAUCCACUGGAUGCAUGAAGAAUGACUUGUUUGAGUUCAAAGUUUACAAUUGCUGGUUAGAUAAUAUAUCAACUCCUGAUGUUUCAUUUUUUUUUUAUCAAAACUGGGGUUGAUGGAAAAGCUGGAACAAGACUUUAUUGGCUUUUUUGGUUAGG